CAACUUUGAGGUAGUAUUAAGAUCUGCUGGGCAGUUUAACUUAGUUUCCGCCCUUAAUUCUUCCAAAUGUCUUCUUUUAUCUAAUUCUCCUGUCAUUCUGACUUCCUAAGUGAACUAACUCAGCUCUUCCAGAUUUUGUGACUUUGACAAGUGUCAGGAGCUCUUUGCUUCCAGGCUGCUGGAUUGGAGUGCUGUUCUCAGCAGGAACCGUAGGAGGACAGCUGGUCUCCGAGAGACUCUGGUGGGUCUAUGGCUCUUCAGAGAGGCUCAGGCCCCCGCUAACAGCCUUCAUCUGCAGCAGACAGGACUCUGGAGCUUGCACUUGUCCAUCAGCUGUCUCAAACAGCUUCUCCAGAGGCUUACAGAAUGCUGGUGAAUUCAGAUGCUGUAGCCUUGGAGAUUCAAAGAAUAUUUAACUUCACAGUGAACCUCUGCUCUGGGAUCUGAGGAGCUGAAAGUCUGAGAACAAGUUGGCUGACCCCUGGCCUGUCUGAAACAUCAAUGAUCUGUCCCCUCUGGCAGAAGGAAAAGAGACAGAACAAAUUAUGGACUGGUUCUUGAAACUUCUCCCAAGAAGUGGCACGUGGUCAUUUCUGCUCACAUUUCCUUCAUUCAAGCAAGACAUGUGGCCACUCUUGAGUUCAACAGAGGGGGAUAGAAAUCAAUCUUCCAACAUGAUUUGUAUUUUAUUUGUGCAGAAGUGGACUUUCUUUAACUAAAACAGAAGAAAGAUUUAUGGGAAGAUUAUUGGGUAAUCACACAAUUGAUAGGAAGGCUGCAGAACAAGGCUCCAGAAGGAGAGGGGAGACACAACCACAGUCCCACCACGGGCAUGGCCUCUGCCAGCUGUGCCCUCUGGCAGCACCAGCACUCCAUUCCCUGUGCC